GAGAGUUAAACAGUACGUGAAAUUGUUGAAAGGGAAACGAUUAAAGUCAGUCGUACCUACGAGUAAUCAACCUACACGAGCGCGAUUUUGUGGGUAUGAAGAGGUAAAAACCUUCAUGCUUGCUAAUUGGUGUUCUUUGGGCGUACUUUCUCGUAUGGUUGGUUAACAUCAAUUUCGAUCGUUAUAAAAUGACGGGAGGAAUGUAGCUUCGACUUCGGUUGAAGUGUUAUAGCCUCUGGUAGAUGUAAUGAUUGGGAUUGAGGAUUGCAACGGAUACCCUCUGGGCUAUUCGUCUGAUCUCUGGAAGUUACAUUGGUGUCGAAAGCGUGCUUAUGACAUUAAGAAUGACGGCCAAAAGGUUAGAACGGAAUUAAAUUCGUUAAGGAUGUUGACGUAAUGGCUUUAAACGA
rnacentral:rRNA from 1 species